GGACGAACGCUGGCGGCGUGCCUAAUACAUGCAAGUAGAACGCUGAAGAGAGGAGCUUGCUCUUCUUGGAUGAGUUGCGAACGGGUGAGUAACGCGUAGGUAACCUGCCUUGUAGCGGGGGAUAACUAUUGGAAACGAUAGCUAAUACCGCAUAACAAUGGAUGACACAUGUCAUUUAUUUGAAAGGGGCAAUUGCUCCACUACAAGAUGGACCUGCGUUGUAUUAGCUAGUAGGUGAGGUAAUGGCUCACCUAGGCGACGAUACAUAGCCGACCUGAGAGGGUGAUCGGCCACACUGGGACUGAGACACGGCCCAGACUCCUACGGGAGGCAGCAGUAGGGAAUCUUCGGCAAUGGGGGCAACCCUGACCGAGCAACGCCGCGUGAGUGAAGAAGGUUUUCGGAUCGUAAAGCUCUGUUGUAAGUCAAGAACGGGUGUGAGAGUGGAAAGUUCACACUGUGACGGUAGCUUACCAGAAAGGGACGGCUAACUACGUGCCAGCAGCCGCGGUAAUACGUAGGUCCCGAGCGUUGUCCGGAUUUAUUGGGCGUAAAGCGAGCGCAGGCGGUUUGAUAAGUCUGAAGUUAAAGGCUGUGGCUCAACCAUAGUUCGCUUUGGAAACUGUCAAACUUGAGUGCAGAAGGGGAGAGUGGAAUUCCAUGUGUAGCGGUGAAAUGCGUAGAUAUAUGGAGGAACACCGGUGGCGAAAGCGGCUCUCUGGUCUGUAACUGACGCUGAGGCUCGAAAGCGCGGGGAGCGAACAGG
rnacentral:rRNA from 1 species